CCAUUGGCUCCUCCCCCUUUCUCCGAAUUGUUGUGGGCUUUUCCCCUCUUCUUCUUCUGGUCUCCCCUGUCACGUGACAGGGGCCUAGACUAGGAUCCGGCUCGCGGCACCGGCGAGGCUGGGACUCUCUUUGAGGCAACGAUACAGAACCUUCUCCCUCCCCUCGGUACUAAGGGAAGCUUAGAGUAAGGAGCGGCAGGAGGGACAAACUUCCUCAGACCUUCCCUGGUAACCCUUGGCAACGCGGCCUUCUCCUUUCCCUGCUCCUUUCUUGCGCCUCUUGGGAGUAGCCCGAAAAGACCUUCCUGGCCUUGGAGCCCCGAGACCCGGGCUGGGCCUUUCUUUCCGGGCGGAGAGGCCUGUCGCUGUCUGUGGGACCCUGGCAGCCUCGGCGAAAUGGAGGUAGAAACGUGAAGAAAUGUCUUUGGAAGAACGUUUCAGGAGCAUGGCCUGCAUGCCAGGGGUCUGGAUUAAUUUGGGCCUGAAUGUUUGCAUACUUUUCUUUGGCACAAAUACAGUGAAAAAACAGAACAAAUGCGUUCAGCGUUCAGUGCUUCAUGCCAUCUGUCAGCAUGAGGAAAGCCCUAAUGCAAGAGGAGAUUGUCCAGACUGACCUUAAUGGUGAAGAUCAUACUGGAACUGCUAUAGAAACUGCUCCAUUCAGAACUGUUUUUCUUCCUUUCCUUGAAGUGGAGUUGGACUAUAAUAAAGGCCAUAACAUUUACCACAAACUUGACUUGUAAAGGUGCUGCGAUGGGAUGAUUCUUCCCAUCUGUGAAAUGAGAGAUUGCUGGGUUUCUUUUGUGCUUUAAGGUGGAAUCCAGCAUCCUUAUCAAUUUUCUGCAUUUGCUAUCUAUUGUGUGUGUGUGUGUAUUAAUGGUGAUGCCUCUGCAUACAUACCUGUGCAGUCUUGGGCAUAGGCUAAUGGGAACUAUGCCAUGAGAACAUCUUCAGCGUAAGUGUAGCCAUGACGGAGCCUCACAGGGUCCAGCUCACUCCUCUGCCAGGCCCGCUGAGCACCACUUUACUGAAAAAGGCGCGUCGGGAGGAUGCCACAGGAGUGGAGCAUGCACAGGAAACUGAACCUACAGCAGCGGCGGUUCGCAUUGCUCUGACCCUUUUUGAGCCGGAUCACAAGCGCUGUCCAGAGUUCUUUUAUCCCGAACUGUUGAAGAAUGCACGCGGAAAAGGGAAGAGCAGCUCCGCUGGAGAAAAGAAAAAAGACCUUGCUGAUCCCUUCAAUGAUGAAGAAAAAGAGAAGCACAAAGUGGAGGCACUUGCCAGGAAGUUUGAAGAGAAAUACGGUGGAAAGAAGCGCCGGAAAGACCGUGUUCAGGAUUUGAUUGAUAUGGGCUACGGAUAUGAUGAAUCUGAUUCCUUCAUUGAUAAUUCUGAAGCAUAUGAUGAGCUGGUCCCAGCAUCACUAACAACCAAAUAUGGAGGCUUUUACAUCAACUCUGGAACGCUACAGUUCCGACAGGCUUCUGAAUCAGAAGAUGACUUUAUCAAAGAGAAAAAGAAAAAAUCUCCUAAGAAACGGAAAUUGAAAGAAGGAGGUGAGAAGAUGAAGAAGAAGAAAAAGGAUGAUUCUUAUGACAAGGAAAAGAAGUCUAAAAAAUCUAAGUUUCCCAAAACUGGUUUCACAGCCCUGAAUGCAAGCAAGGAGAAGAAAAAGAAGAAAUACUCAGGCUCCCUGAGUGUCAAGGAAAUGCUGAAGAAAUUUCAGAAGGAAAAGGAUGCUCAGAAGACAAGGAAUGAUGAGCCAAAGCUUCCUGUCCCCUGUGUGGCUGAAGCCACAGUCCCACGGGAAGUAGAGAGCAUGCCCGACCCUCUUCUCUCCCUCUUUGGCCACACCAGUGACAAUGAACUGCUUCAGGCAGCCACAGCCAUGGACUCCCUGAGUGACCUUGAUCUCGAACGGCUUCUCUUUGAAUAUCCAGAAGAGAGCCGAUUCCAGGACAUGGAUGAUGGGAGUGAUUCCCUUGGGGCGAGCCUGGAGCAGGAUGUCAAGCAGCCUCUCACCCUUCCUGAUGGACUCCCCGCACCCUUGGAGAAACGCAUUGAGGAACUUAAUCAGGCUGCCAGAGCUGCAGAAGGAGAAGUCAAACACAAAUUCUUCAACCAGGACAUGAACAGCAUUUUAUUGGAUAUAGAGCUACAAACCCGGGAGCUGAGCAGCCAGAUGCGAUCCGGGGUAUAUGCUCAUCUGGCCUCCUUUUUGCCGUUCAACAAAGAUACUCUCCUCAAGCGUGCCCGCAGACUUUACCUCUGUGAACAGGGUGGUCGGUUGAAGGAGCCCCUUCAGAAAUUAAAGGAAGCCAUUGGCAGAGCAAUGCCAGAACAGAUGGCCAAAUACCAAGACGAAUUCCAUGCACACACCCAAGCCAAGUUUGCCAAGAUGCUUGAAGAGGAAAAAGACAAGGAGCAAAGAGACCGGAUUUGUUCAGAUGAUGAAGAUGAUGAUGAUAAGGGAGGGAAACGGAUCAUGGGACCCCGGAAGAAGUUUCAUUGGAACGAUGAAAUCAGGGAUUUGCUCUGCCAGGUGGUGAAGAUCAAACUGGAUGCAUAUGACCUCGAAAAGAACAAAGCACAGUCACUGGAGGAUUAUGUGAAGACCUUCCUGGAUGGGGAAGUCAGAUCUCUUUGGCCAAAGGGCUGGAUGCAGUCCAGAACUUUAUUCAAGGAGAGCCGGCGGGGACACAGUCAUCUAACUUCACUCCCAGCAAAGAAGAAAGUUGUGGCACCACAAAAGGUGAAGGCAAAGGAGCCUUCUGGUAAACCAGACAAGAAGAUGCCGCUUUCUGUCCCGUUGAUCCACUCGAGUGGCACAGUUUCUCCAGAGUCUCAAGGAGCUGCUGUUGGCCUCAGCCCGCAGACUAGGGAGCUCCUGGCCAUGAGUUCAACUCCAGUUGCCAGCAGCUCAGUCACACCAGCUGCCUUCAAUAUGGAUGAUUCUUUGAAUGAGGACUUAAUCCACAAUGCUGCUUCAUCCCUGGAAGCCGUCUCCAAGGAACUGGCUGUGUUGAACAGCCGAACGGGUGGAAGUCCUGAUUUCACCCUUCCUGCAGCCCCAAAGAUGCCUUCGGAGAAGCCCCCUGUCCAAGCAGCACUGGAAGAGAAGAGGCCUUUCUCCAAACCAAGCCCUUCACCUGUAUCAUCAUCUUCUAGCAGUUCCCUACAGUCUCCCCUCAACUUCCUGGCUGAACAGGCCUUGGCAUUAGGCCAGUCCCCUCAGGACAAAAAGGCCGAGGGCUCCACUUACAAAGACCUGCCCUCCCAGACUCCCCCAACUAAGGUCCCAGAAACCCACCAGCCGAAGCCGAAGCAUCACAGCCUGCCACGCACAGUUCAUGGACCCCUGACAUCAGCCCCUGUGCAAACACCCCAGGUGAAAGUAUUUUCCUUGAGUGCUCAGCAGCCGAAGACUUUCUCACCAUCACCUCCCUUUGUGAAGCUGCAGAGUCCUAAAGCUGUCUCCCCACUCCCCCAGCGCCCCCUCCUCCAACAGCAGCAGGUGAAAACUCCCAUCAAAGCACCAGGAUUCCACUCUUCCUCCUCUUCUUCCUCCUCUUCCACCAUCUCUCCAGGAUCUGGCAGCUCUCACAAGAACCCUAGUUCUGCCUCUGUGUCACUAAGCUACACAGGGAAGCACCUAAAUAGCUCUGGCUCCUCAGGACAAUCUUUCAAGUCACCCUUUGUGGCGCUGUCCAGGCACAUGGCUUCGACCAGUGGCUCUACAUCAAGCAUUUCUACAAACCAGAGCUCAACCCCGGGCAAUUUGCUGCCAGGCGCAUGUCUUCCUUCUGGGCAGGCUCCCAGUCGCUCAUCGCCCAGUUCUAUGGUGAAGAAGACUCUGGUCUCCCAAAAGUUGACGUUGGUAGCUCCACCAGGGGGUCCAAAUGUCAGUUCAAGUGGAGGGACACAAGGGGUGGCCAAGUUGCUGACCUCCUCCCUGAAGCCUGCUGUGGUUAGCAGCACUGCAUCCUCUACCUCUAUACCAAAGGGAGCCAGCGGAGCAGUGCUGCUAACCAGUUCGUCUUCCUUGAAUGUCCUCUCGCCCUCUUACAAGCCCAGCAACCCGAAGCUGCCUACUGCCCUCAGCUCUACCCCACUGGGGAUUAUCUCACCCAUCCAUUCCUUCCCUCUUCAUGUGAUUUCCUUCAGCUCUGAGUCUCCACCUAAAGCAGGGGUGUCGAAGGAUGCCAUCGUAACAGGACCAGUCCCAGGGACUUUCCACCACAGUCUUGGCCAUAAUACAUCUCAGCUACAUGCUAAAGGGUCCAACUCGCAGCCACGGAAAUUGUGACAGCUCUGAAAGAGUGCAACAACCGCUGAAGUGGGGCCACCAUGAAACUGAGCAGUGGACACAAGGGGGUUCUCCCCCACUCACUCUUGUUAUUCUGACUUAAAUGGGAGUUGAGCGGGGAGGAUCUUUCCGACUUUGGACCAGGAGUUUUCUAUGGGGAUCUGUGCCUCACCCAGAAAAGGAAGCACUUACGUGGCACAGUUGUGGCAGCUGCUCUUAUUCCAUGUACUCCAGCCGCCCAGGCAGGGAAUGGAGUGACACAGGCAAGUUUGUACAAGCCAAGCACUAGCAGAGCCUUGCUGCCAAGUAUCUGUGGAUCCAAUUACCUCCUCAUCGAUGUUGAAGUGGAUUACAGGAAGGUGCUUGUUCUUUUCUUGACUCGAUCAUAUGCCAUAUUGCCCCACCCCCAUACACACACACACACACACACACGCACUCUUUCUGAUGGUACCCAGAAUAAAGCUGUGCUCAUGUUGACCGGAAGAUUGACCUUCCUCUUGUGGCAGCUUUGUAAAGUCAGUCAGCUCACUGGUCCUCUGAGAAGGAAAGUAGAGACUUCAGAAGCCUCAAGAUGCAUUCAUGAACACUGAGCUGAAUUUGUGGCUUUCAUUUUUCUUUUUCUUUUGCUUCCCUGCCUGACCUCUUCUGUUUUUUGUUUUGGGUAGGCUCCAUUAGCUGCUCCUUGUCCCCACCUUGUCAUUACCCCUGAAUGUCCAGCAUCAAAAAAGACCCUUCCCCACCCACGCAUGACGUUGUGUACAACGAAGCUGUAAUUUCAGUGCCUUUUAUGGUGGAGCAAGAGUGCAAAACAUUUCAAGCUCAUGUAGUAUGUGAACUCCCUCAAGCUUUUUUUUUCCUUUUGACAUUUUCUUAUUUUUAGAGCUGUAUUUAAGGUGCACUGGGCUUUAUGUAGAGGGGUCCCUCCCCUUUGGUGACAUGGCAGUCUCCAGGCAGUUGUGCAAGAUGGCCAAUGCCAAGCAACUUGAAGCUGUGACUUAAGCUUUACUUCUGAAGCUAUUGUCCUGAAACAGCCAGCAUUCCAUAAAGAGCUCAAGAUCAUUUUUUUUUCUUUUGCUCUCACAGGAAUUAUCUAUGACCAUUUUUUGCAUAUGCAGCCAUGCAGGGGCAGGAGGAGCUGGCCUUUUGUAGGGCUGCAGGAAGAAAACUAAGCCAUCAGGAGGUGCUUAGUUUGCAUCAGGGUGCCUGCAUGCAUGUGGAUUAGGGCAAUUGGAUGGAAACCAUGCCAAUCCAAUGAAUGCAAACUGGGCUAGAACAUCUUUAUCUCAAGAGACUUUCCUGGCAGAUUCUGCCAACUGUUUCUCAAGCUGCUUAGCUGUUUUGGAGGCAUUAGGAAGAUGGUGGAAGCUCACCAGGGUUUGCUUAUAUUCUUCAGUGAUGCUCUUGGCUUGGAAGUUUUCAGAACUGACCAAAAGAGCUACCACUCCUAGCUAGUCCUUCUGGCUUUGAGGCAGUGGCUGGCAUCUUGAUGGUUCUGUAGGCUAAUUGGUGAAAAAGGACCAAAUCCUUCACUGACUUGUUGCCCUGACAUGUUCUGGGGAGGAGAAAGGCAGGGAAUAGCUAGGACGUGGUACACACCCCUCCUCCACCCAGAAGCCCCUUGCAAAAGGUUUCCUGGAACAAAAAAAUCUCUUCGUAGAGUGGCGAAAUCAUGUUAGGCCCUCUGGUUGCCAACUGACUGAUACUCUUUGUCUCAAACCUUGGUGCAGCCCAGUGGCACCCUCCCCACAAAAAACCCCUCUUAUUUUACCUGCCUAAAUUGAGGACUGCUUUCUGAUCAUAAUCUAGAACUCUUCUUUCUUAAGUGUCAGUUUGCUCAUUGUUCCUCUGAAACAGAAAAUACUUGAUCUUUAGCUCAGUUUAAAAAAAAACACCAUUCUAUUUGGAUUGUGACCUCCAAACCAAAGUUUGGAGAGCAGUUAUUUCUUUUGACAUACUAGUAAGCUCUUUUGUAUUUCUUUCCAUCAGAAUGAAUUUGAGACUUGCUCACCACAAUCAAAUUCGUUUUUAAAACCAAUCAAUUAAAGUAAGCAUACACACCCCUUAAGUUACAGAAGAAGAGCCAAAGACCAAAUCUGAAGCUUGCCAAUUCUGAAGCACAGAGAUGUGAAAUGAGUGUCCUUUGUUUAGUUGUGUCCUUUUUGGUCAAGGCUCAAUCCUGCUGUCUCUUGAUUGCCUUUUAAGAGCAGCUUCAUUUUCAUAGGAACUAGUGCUCAGCACUGGGCAGGAUUCAGGCCAUGCUUAAGUCCUUUCUUGCUGUCAUUCAGAUGCUUCUGUCACCACAUAUCUGUACUUGCUGAAGCUGGAGCGGAAGCCCCAUGUUGUAGAAAGAAACUUCACAAAGCCUCUUGCCUCAGGGAAAUGUUCUACGGUGGAAAUUCUGUGCGAUUUCUUCCCCGCCUGCUUUUUUCAAACCCCCCCCCCCUUUUCCUUUUGCGUUUUAAAAAGCGAGAUAAACAGAGCCACGGCAAGGCAAGAUCUAACCGCCAGGGCCUGUGAACAACAGCAGAGCACCACAUGUCUCUCUGCCUUGGCUGAAGACCAUUUUGCUAGGUUUUGUUUAUGGUGGGCAUGCGCACCACCAGAUGGCACUUAAAACUUAGAAAAGCAGUUUCUUUGUGUGCAGAAAGAGCUGCGAUUUAUUUUUGUGUGUGUCGUGGGGGAGGGAGGGAGGGGGCCCUUUCUAGAUAACCAGGAGGGUGGAGGUGACAAUUAAAAAUGGUUAAUCUUGUAUACAGCAACGGAAUAAAAUUGUUUUUUCAGUUUCCAAAAACGCUGCUUUCAUUUUUCUCUCUUUUGAAAGAGGAGCCGGUGGAGGAGCUGUUCUGUGGACAGAGUUCAUUCCCCACGUCUCCAACGAAAACUGAUCAGGUAGAAGGGAGAUUCUGGGCAAACUCCAAGUUCUGCAGCCUCUGCCUAUUGACAGCAUUCACUUCUGUGAAUUUUGCAGCCAGGAUGGCUUCCUAUGAAAGAAAAAUGGACAUACAUUCAGGAAAGGUAAUAAAACGGGGGAACCUGCAGACAAGAUGAAAAGCUGUUUUAGACCCCUCAGUAGACCAACUCACAAUUGAAUCAUCAGUUUAUAUCUAAAUUCAAAGGAUCAAAUUUCUCAACCACUUUUAGAAAGCGUGGUGAAUGGGAAGCAGGCUUUACACCUAGCUAGCGCCGUACAUCAACCACAGCGGCCCUGGAUUAUCCCCUGCUGCUGGCGAUGGGAUUCUGGAAAAUGUCAUCCAGAAAAGUAACUUUUCUAAGUUUAGGGAAGGGCAAGAUAUCAAUGUAACACCUAAAUAACAAUGUUGCAUGCCAUCAUCAUCAUCAAAGGUUGACUUCACAGAGUGGCGGUCUAUUCAAAGUGAGGUUAAGUAAUGCUGAAAUCUUUCACAAGGUAGCUACUAACUCUCUCCAGCUACAUACCUCUUCUUUCACUUUAGCGGCUGGAGACUGGAGUCUGGGUCUCUUGCUCAUGAAGCCAUUGCGGCCAUUUUCCAGGUCAAGGAUGGACCUCAGUUUUUCAGCCUCUAGCUCAUAGUCCUGUAAGAGGGCAAAGAAGUCAUGAAAGCAGCAGAGAACCAGCCAUACCUACACAGAGUAUGUUUCCGCAAUAUUUUUUAUUCAACCCAACCACACAGGCUGCUGCUACCCUCCUCGCCAUCCUUCUUACCUUUACUGCCUGCUGAUACUGUUGUGCCUCAGCAGAGACUUUCUGGACCUCUUUUUCCUUGCUGGCAAUUUCUCCCAGAAGGGACUGAAAAACAGGCCAAGCAGAGAAAAGUCAAAGGGCAAGAACUGGGUGGGAACACCUUCCUCUAGAACAGAUUAGACUGGACCUCUUUAUAUAGAGCCACUGAGUGGUCUGUAGGGAAAGCGAACUGGCAGCUGGAGCCAAACUCAAAAUUUGUGGGGUGAAGAGGAUUGCAUGAUGCCCUGUGCUUUCUGAAAUCUCUUUCAGACCUUCCCCAUUUUCUUUUUGCUGCAGCACAUUAAUAUAGCUCCUCUGGAAAUGGUUGUGGUGGAAAGCACCAGGUUUAGCCACAGGGAGUGGAGCUGAGGACACCUGUUUAAUACAUCUGAUGAAACAGACUCUAGCUCAUGAUGAGUUAUGGCACCAAACCCAUUCGUCUUUCAAGUUCCCUAGCUGCUGUUGUCUCCAACAUCCAUUCAAUACAACAGUGUCAUGGACUGUGAGAGUUUAAUGUGCUCUCCUUGGUAAGGAGGCUCUACACAGAAGUAGACAACCAUCUAUCAGGGAUGCGGUAAAAACUUAUUUUCUACAUCAACAAAGGGUAUAUAUUAGACUGGGGCUGAAAAAUGAGUUGCCCUUGAAAUGCUGUUGGACUGCCACCUCCAUCAACCUUCAUCAUGUUGGCUUCUACCACCUGGAGAACCAUGCUUUGUCCAACCAUAGACUAGAGUUUUGAGGUUUCUUCCAACCUAAUGAUUCUGCUUCAUAAUUACCCUUUGAUUCUUCAACUUGGUUUCCACU